GACAGAGGGUGCAAACGUUGUUCGGAAUUACUGGGCGUAAAGCGCGUGUAGGCUGCUUGGAAAGUCGGAUGUGAAAGCCCUGGGCUCAACCUAGGAAGUGCAUUCGAAACUUCUGAGCUGGAGUUCUGGAGAGGAAGGCGGAAUUCCAGGUGUAGCGGUGAAAUGCGUAGAUAUCUGGAGGAACACCGGUGGCGAAGGCGGCAUCCUGGACCGGUAUUGACGCUGAUGCGCGAAAGCCAGGGGAGCAAACGGG
rnacentral:rRNA from 1 species